rnacentral:rRNA from 1 species
AGGGUUUGAUCCUGGCUCAGGAUGAACGCUAGCGGCAGGCUUAACACAUGCAAGUCGAGGGGUAACAGGAAAAAGCUUGCUUUUUUGCUGACGACCGGCGCACGGGUGCGUAACGCGUAUGCAACCUACCUCUUACUGGGGAAUAGCCCGGAGAAAUCCGGAUUAAUGCCCCAUAGUAUUUUCGGAUUGCAUGAUUUGAAAAUUAAAGGUUACGGUAAGAGAUGGGCAUGCGUCCCAUUAGCUAGAUGGUAAGGUAACGGCUUACCAUGGCAACGAUGGGUAGGGGGCCUGAGAGGGUGAUCCCCCACACUGGUACUGAGACACGGACCAGACUCCUACGGGAGGCAGCAGUGAGGAAUAUUGGACAAUGGACGCAAGUCUGAUCCAGCCAUGCCGCGUGCAGGAAGACUGCCCUAUGGGUUGUAAACUGCUUUUAUUUGGGAAUAAACCCCUCUACGUGUAGAGGGCUGAAGGUACCAAACGAAUAAGCACCGGCUAACUCCGUGCCAGCAGCCGCGGUAAUACGGAGGGUGCAAGCGUUAUCCGGAAUCAUUGGGUUUAAAGGGUCCGCAGGCGGACGUAUAAGUCAGUG